CUUGGAGAUUGGGAUUAGGAGUACAUCGACUCCUAGAACAGUUCCAACGAGGCCCAACACCUCCACCCGGAGCAUUAGUUGAAGUUGGAGUCGAUCCACAAGCAUUAACAAAGACAUUGUGGGAGUGCACAUGCCGACGAUGACGGGGUGCGAGAGUGUGAAUGAUGAUAUUGCCUGUGCACAAUGUGGGGGAGCACACGAUGGCAUUAGCUGUGCAUGAUGUGGGGGUGCCCAUGAUGACUCCAACUAUGUGCGGUGUGGGAGUGCACAUGAGCUGA